rnacentral:rRNA from 1 species
CCUACGGGCGGCAGCAGUGAGGAAUAUUGGUCAAUGGCCGAGAGGCUGAACCAGCCAAGUCGCGUGAGGGAAGACGGCCCUACGGGUUGUAAACCUCUUUUGUCGGGGAGCAAAGCGAACCACGUGUGGUUCAUUGAGAGUAACCGAAGAAAAAGCAUCGGCUAAAUCCGGGCCAGCAGCCGCGGUAAUACGGAGGAUGCGAGCGUUAUCCGGAGUUAUUGGGUGUAAAGGGUGCGCAGGCGGGGGUGAAAGUCAGCGGUCAAAUUGCGGAGCUCAACCCCGUACUGCCGUUGAAACUGCAUCCCUUGAGUGCGCGAGAAGUAUGCGGAAUGCGUGGUGUAGCGGUGAAAUGCAUAGAUAUCACGCAGAACUCCGAUUGCGAAGGCAGCAUACCGGCGCGCAACUGACGCUCAUGCACGAAAGCGUGGGUAUCGAACAGGAUUAGAUACCCGAGUAGUC